CCUACGGGAGGCAGCAGUGGGGAAUAUUGCACAAUGGGGGAAACCCUGAUGCAGCGACGCCGCGUGAGUGAAGAAGUAAUUCGGUAUGUAAAGCUCUAUCAGCAGGGAAGAAAAUGACGGUACCUGAGUAAGAAGCCCCGGCUAACUACGUGCCAGCAGCCGCGGUAAUACGGAGGGGGCAAGCGUUAUCCGGAUUUACUGGGGGUAAAGGGAGCGUAGACGGGAGUGCAAGUCUGGAGUGAAAGGCGGGGGCUCAACCCCCGGACUGCUCUGGAAACUGUACGGCUGGAGUGCAGGAGAGGUAAGUGGAAUUCCUAGUGUAGCGGUGAAAUGCGUAGAUAGUAGGAGGAACACCAGUGGCGAAGGCGGCUUACUGGACUGUAACUGACGUUGAGGCUCGAAAGCGUGGGGAGCAAACAGGAUUAGAUACCCUGGUAGUC
rnacentral:rRNA from 1 species